rnacentral:rRNA from 1 species
UACGUAGGGUGCGAGCGUUGUCCGGAAUUAUUGGGCGUAAAGGGCUCGUAGGCGGUUUGUCGCGUCAGGAGUGAAAACUCGGGGCUUAACCCCGAGCCUGCUUCUGAUACGGGCAGACUAGAGGUAUGCAGGGGAGAACGGAAUUCCUGGUGUAGCGGUGAAAUGCGCAGAUAUCAGGAGGAACACCGGUGGCGAAGGCGGUUCUCUGGACGGUAACUGACGCUGAGACGCGAAAGCGUGGGGAGCAAACAGG